GGAAGUCCUUUGAGUUUACAGGCGCAUCCAUGGAGACAGAAAAGUUGAAAAUAGUGAGGAAUCGUGUCAGUGUGACACAAGGACAAUGGAUUACAAGAUCUGCGUGGAAAUAUUUAUUCUAACAUGGAUUAUGACAAUGACGCAAAGGUAUCAGGAUCCAGCUGAUUCCAGUGCUGGGAUGCAGAGUAAGAGAAGGUUCUGGCCCACAUGGUGCUGAGGAAAAUGGAGGAGACGGAAAAGAGACAGAGGACCUGACGGAGUGGGAGGGCGAGUGAAUGAAGAGGAGCUUGGACAGGAAAACCUGUGUGAUGUAAUGUGUGCCAUAAGUAUCGAUCAAAUUGCGAUAUGGUAACCCAGAAGAAUUUGGAGGAAGAGACUCCACAGCCGUUUUAAAUUCAAGAUGCAAAGCCACCUUGGAAUGGGAACCUCCAACAGAAAAACCAACUGAGGUUAAAGGAAUAUCAAGACCAAGUUUCCAGUUGUUGGACACAGAUG